rnacentral:lncRNA from 1 species
GGAGGCGCUUCGGUCCUCUUCUCGGGGUCUUCUCCAGAGUUACCGGGAGGAGUAUCGGGACUGUCUUUCUGAGAUAGUUCAGGCCGUCCAGACGGCCCAGCUCCACUGCGAGGCUCUGCUGGCGGCCUAUUCGGCGGAGGCGGGGCGUCUGGAGCAGUCCCUGAGGGAUGUGACAGAGCGCUGGCAGCAGGAGCUGCGGGAGCGGCGGCGGCUGCAGGACGCCCUGGCGGUGGGUGACCCUCCGCCCGACCCUGACAACGGGGGCAGUGUGGGUGGGGGUCCCUGUCCCCCCGCAGGGGCCGCCGCCUCCCCAGUCCUCUGGCUGCUCUGUCGGGGGCAGGGCUGGGCCCCCAGGCCAGGCUGGGCGAUGCGGUGGUGGGAGUUGACCACCCAGCACCUGGGGGGCCUUCGGGCGGGCCGGCGGGCGUGGAUGGGGAAGCAGUUUGCAGAGGCGGAGACCCCCAAGCAGGACAGGAGCCCAGUAAAGCCUGAGCCGCCUCUGAGACACUCGCGGGCACAGGGGGCAGGCCCUGCCUCCUCGCCAGUUCUUGUCCACCCAGCCAGUGUCUGUGCAGAGGUGACAGCUGGGCAAGGCCUGGGGAUGUGCUCCGGCCUCCGUCCAGACCCGGACUCUUUGGGCCCUAAUUACAUGUGACGAUAGAAAUAAGCAGGCAGAUUGAUGACUUUGAAGAUACCAGUUUGGAAGGAAUUGAUCGCAGACAGGUUGAACAGCAAGAUAUUUCAGCAGGCUGCACCUGGCCUGUCCCCGGAACACCGGGCACUUGUGUGGGGACGGGUGUGGCCCCGCCAGCGCCAGCACCACCUGGCUGGGCCAAGGUCCGUUUCUAGGCAGACCAGCAGUUAGAGCCGGCGUCCCCCCACCCUCUGAGCCGCCGUUACUGUGGCUACUCGUGGGCCCUCUGGCCGACCUGCAGCCCAAGCUCGGGUGACAAGUCCCCCGGGGUCGCUGUCUCUUGGCCUCCAGGCUCCUCUGACCUGCCUCUGGCUGCCCACCUGUCCUGGGAGGUCGCGCCUGUCACUCGCAGCUGUGAUAACCCCCGGAUGACUGGUGGUCUCCCUUCAGCCGCCGCCUCCGGGCAUCCCCCACCUCGUCCAGCGGCCACCUCUCCCCAGGCCUCUUGGGUCCCAAGGGUCCGCACAGCUCCCUGAGAAGCCGCGGCUUCUUCCCCGCAUCCGGAUUUCUGGCCUGGGAUGUUUGUGGGCAUCUGGCAAGCCUGCAGCUAUUUCUCCUGCUUUCUGGGACUGUCUCCAAAGGCUGAGGAGCUGAGGAGGAGGAGCUGAUGGCUCCAGAGUCCCCUGGGCACCAAGGCACGGGGUGUCCGUGGAGUCCUGGUGGGGGCUGGCCAUUCGUGUCCAUGGCUGCCAAGGAAGCUAUUGGUUUACCCAGUGGUGUAGACAGAAGCCCCCUCCGAGAAGGAGGGGGCUCCCUCUGCCUAGAGACGUGCUUCUUGUCCCCGACACGCCGCUUCAGGAAGGACGCGGAAGGGCUGGGUUGAUCUCAGCC